GGGGAAUAUUGCACAAUGGGGGAAACCCUGAUGCAGCGACGCCGCGUGGAGGAAGAAGGUCUUCGGAUUGUAAACUCCUGUUGUUGGGGAAGAUAAUGACGGUACCCAACAAGGAAGUGACGGCUAACUACGUGCCAGCAGCCGCGGUAAAACGUAGGUCACAAGCGUUGUCCGGAAUUACUGGGUGUAAAGGGAGCGCAGGCGGGAAGACAAGUUGGAAGUGAAAUCUAUGGGCUCAACCCAUAAACUGCUUUCAAAACUGUUUUUCUUGAGUAGUGCAGAGGUAGGCGGAAUUCCCGGUGUAGCGGUGGAAUGCGUAGAUAUCGGGAGGAACACCAGUGGCGAAGGCGGCCUACUGGGCACCAACUGACGCUGAGGCUCGAAAGUGUGGGUAGCAAACAGGAUUAGAUACCCUGGUAGUCCACACCGUAAACGAUGAUUACUAGGUGUUGGAGGAUUGACCCCUUCAGUGCCGCAGUUAACACAAUAAGUAAUCCACCUGGGGAGUACGACCGCAAGGUUGAAACUCAAAGGAAUUGACGGGGGCCCGCACAAGCAGUGGAGUAUGUGGUUUAAUUCGACGCAACGCGAAGAACCUUACCAAGUCUUGACAUCCCUUGACAGGCAUAGAAAUAUGUUUUCUCUUCGGAGCAAGGAGACAGGUGGUGCAUGGUUGUCGUCAGCUCGUGUCGUGAGAUGUUGGGUUAAGUCCCGCAACGAGCGCAACCCUUAUGGUCAGUUACUACGCAAGAGGACUCUGGCCAGACUGCCGUUGACAAAACGGAGGAAGGUGGGGAUGACGUCAAAUCAUCAUGCCCUUUAUGACUUGGGCUACACACGUACUACAAUGGCGUUAAACAAAGAGAAGCGAGACCGCGAGGUGGAGCAAAACUCAGAAACAACGUCCCAGUUCGGACUGCAGGCUGCAACUCGCCUGCACGAAGUCGGAAUUGCUAGUAAUCGUGGAUCAGCAUGCCACGGUGAAUACGUUCCCG
rnacentral:rRNA from 1 species